rnacentral:lncRNA from 1 species
GGUAACAACAGGCAGAUACAUGAAGCUCUUCGGCCAGCCAAUCUAACAGAUUUGAUGAGCUCUGGUUCCCUGAGAGAUUCUGUCUCAAAAAAAUAAAGGUAGAGAGGGUCCAGGAGAGACACCCAGUGCCAGCCCCCGUCCCUUCUGUCCCUACACGGGAGCAGGCAGGUGCACACCCAAACACAUGCACACACCCACAUGAACAAGUACAUCCCCCACAUGCGGACACAAAUUUAAGAGCUAAAUUAUAAAGUAUAUGAAAGUAUUAGCUGUUUGAAGUUCUAUGGACCAGACAGUGUAUUCUUCGGACAAAUGGUGUGAAAGUGAAAUAAGAAUUCAUAAUGUAACUUACAAACGUUCAAUAUAUUUCACGUUAAAUGUCACAGUGAGCCCACUGCUCUGACUUUGGUUUUUAGCUCAUCUGUCUCCUUUGAACUCAGGAAGAUAAAACUUUCUGAUCUGUCGGUGGCUCACAUGGGAGUCAGAAGCCACCCCAAACUAUAGACCAAAACCCUGUAUCCAAAAAAAAAAAAAAAAAAAAAAAAAACAACUCUGUAUGUGCCCAGGAAGACAACCUAAAACUCAAGAGAGUUUGGUGGUGGCAAAUGGAAGGUUAAUUUGGAGUCUGAGAAAGUGACUCCCCUAACCAUGGGGGUGAGGGGUGUUAGAAAGCAAAGCUGCCCUCCUGGAAGUCAACCAGAUCCAAGGAGAGCUUGCUGGACUCUGUCAGUUGCCUUUGUCACACAUUUGAGCCAGGUGCGAUAAAACAGGCAGCAGGACCACCCUGUUUGCAGGGAUGCACCCCCGGGUACUACAGGAAAUGCCCAGUCCUCCUCCUGGUCUAUCUCUGGGCUUCCUGCCAUGUGGUAGUCACCUAAGAGCAUCGUAUCAGCUGUAGGCCUGAGCGUGCGCAGCGUUCAGAUCCAUCAUGAUGGCAUUAAAGCAAGCCCUGCUCCCCUCUGGGAAUCUCAUUAAAGAGGGAAUUCCAGAGGGCUGAGUCGGUGACUCAGGGGGUAGAGUGCCUGCUGCUCUGCUCAGAUCCCAGCACCCAUGCGAAGGCAGGCAGGCCAGACACGGGAGUGUGUGCCUGUGAUCUCGGCCUGGCGCACUGUGGGGGUGGAGACAGAAGAUCCCCAGAGCUCGCUGCUGAGCCAGCCUGGUCAGAACCCUGAGCUCCAGGCUGAAGCCAUAGGUGGAGAGCAACUGAGGAAGGCACUCACUGUCAACCUCUGGCCUCCACGCUCACACUCAUGAUGAGUGUGCUGCACACCCAACACACACACACACACAGGGGAAUACUGGAAUAAAAAGUUAAUAUCUCGAUCAAACAUACCUAUCUGGAAACGGCCACUGUACUGUCAUAUUUGUGGUGGGGGAAAAAAAUCCAAACCCUAAAGGGACUGUAUGGUCUCUGUUGAGCAGAAAUUGUUUUCUUUUUUUCCCUAAAGUUGUCUUUGUGUGUGGUAUGAGCAUAUGGAGUUGAAACUUAUACACAUCGCUCAAACCACUUCCUUGUCUCCCUAGUGAGACAAGCUUGCAAUCCCAGCACUUGGGAGAUGGAGGCAGGAGGCUUGCCAUGAAGGUCAAGGUCCCCUGAGCUUCAUGGGGACACCCUGUCUCAACAAC